ACAAUUUCUCGACCUUUUGGCUAAGAUCAAGUGUAGUAUCUAUUCUUAUCAGUUUAAUAUCUGAAAAAAUACUUAUAAAAAAAAAUUUUUUUACAAAUUUGUAAGAAAAAUCAAUGACUUGUACCCCAUGCAUCACAUUCCUUCAACUCUUACCUGUUCCGUUAACUACACCUUUUUUAUUAGGGGUGCUACCCAC